CAGGGUUUAGUUUAAUAAAAAUGUUAAUUUUGGAGAUUAAAGAUAAAGAGAGAGGCCUUUUUCCCUGA
rnacentral:tRNA from 1 species